rnacentral:sRNA from 1 species
UCUCAACCAUUGAGCCAUCUCUCCAGCCCUACCACGUGGAUUCUCAUGGAUUGAACUCAAGCUUGGUAGCAAAUGCUCUUACCCACAGAACCGUCGUGCCAGCCCAGAGACCCUGACAUUUAAGUAAAAACAAAAACGAAACAAAACAGAAAACAGAACCAACCCAGAAAGCGCUUCCUCUCACUAGAAUGGAAUAGAAACUUCCAUAUUGGGGAAGCCACAGGGUGCCAUGGAGAUGUGCUUUAUUUAGUGAGCCUCUCACUUAGGGUUUCUAUUGAUCUGACCCAAUGCAUGACCAAAAGCAACUUACUGAUCUCUCUUCCUCUUCCACAUCGUAGCCAGUUAUCAAAGGAUGCUGGGUUAGGAACCUGAAGGCAGGGACUGAAGCAGAGGACACAGAAGAACACCGACUCCUUGCAUCUUGAUCAGCCUAGAUUCUUAGACCAAUCAGGACCAUCUCACCAGCCAACACCCUGUCUUUUAUUUUUGAAGUUGGUUUCAUUUUGCCAUGCUGUGGGUCAGGAUGACCUUGAUUUCGAUAUCCCAGCCACCACCUCCUGAGUCCUGGCAUUACAGUCUUUAAGAGCCUUGACAUUCCGGAAAGCAUCCGGGACUGGACAAUGAGGUUCAAGACAAAGCCAGCUUCAGUGAUGCCGGCCCUCACCAUGGAAGGGAACGCGGACAGAAUUCACCAGCAAUUAAUCAGAUGCGUCUGGUGCACACAGCAGGUGCCUCAUAAGCACCUGAAUGGAUGGACAGUAGCAGACACUGUAGCUCACACCCACUUCAUGCCUUUAGUUUUAUUCCGAGCUGCUCACUGUGGGGUGAUUGGCUUUGUGGUGGGCAAACGGUGAGGGGAUACAACUGGCGUCCUCGAGGAAUGAUCAGUGCUUGCAGAGAGCCUGGAGAGGGACACCAGCCGAUGUUCUCAGAGCCUAGCGUCAUGGUGCACACACAUAAUCCCAACCCUUGAGAGGAUAAGAAGGCAGACCCAAGAGCCUGAGGCCACCUGAGCUGUAUAACAAGAACCAAAGAAGCUACAAAGACAAAGCUCAGCGGAACAGUACUAGCCUAGCAUGCCUGACGCCCUGGAUUCCUAUCCCCCUGCACUGUCAAGAAAAGAGACCCCUGAAAGCCCAUUCCAGCACAUUUCUGUAACAUCACCCAGUUCAAGUGAGGAACCAUUCUCAGUAUCAGGGACUUUUCUAAAAGAAAAAUUUCCUAGGAAAAAUUUGGUCUCCCCGAGAGCUCUCUGUAGCUGGAAACAUUGAUAGACAAGUAGUCUUGUUUAACAGAGCUCCGGCUAGGACUAGCAAGCUCCCCACUUGGGCACCCUUCGGACCUUAGCCCUCUUCUGGGCUGUGGUGGAUAGUCUUCCUGUGGAGCAGAGGAAGACCUGAGCCAGUGAAGUGUAUUUUGACACGGGCAUGGCUGUGUCAAGGAAGCCCAAGGCCUUGGCCCAUGGGACAAUUGACAAAGCCAUCCCUCCUAUGGCUCAUGCUCAAGAGAAAUAGCCAAGCUUUUCUCAGGAAUCUGAGUGUGAGUGGUUAUGGAUGAUUGAUCAAGGUAUGCAAAGACUUGGAACUAUGGCUUCCUUCUCCUGGGUGUUUACAGCCUGAGACUGCUGACUACAGAGACCUCCCAAAGAGACAAGUUAACCUUUGCCCACCCCUUCCCCGUGCUGUACCUAAUUAGCACAUUGGGGAUACAGCUUGCUGUUAGCAGAACCCUUCCUGGUCCGAGCUUUACUGCAUGAGUGUCUGUGUGUCUGUCCUUUCCUCAUUACUAUGGUGCCACUCCUUGCCAGGGUGAUUGGACCCAAGCCAUGAAGGUUGGGUGGGAUUGGAUUAAGAGCCCCAUAGAGAGAUGACGUCUAAUCUUCUGGGCGUGACCCUGUGAGUGUUUCCAGAGAACAAUUAGCACGUGGGUGAGUGAACUAAGAGGGUAGAGACUCUGUGUGAGACUGUGAUGACGCCACAGGCUUUUACAAAUUUGUCCAGAUGUGUAGACUAUAGAACACCAUGAGCGGAGUCUAAUGAACAUCAAGUACAGUGAGUGACAGUGGUGUGCUGUUAUGAGUUCAUCAGUAACAAAUAUAUCAGUCUGAUGAGGACGCUGAUAUGAGGAUGCUACACAUGGGUGGAGGCAAGGAACAUAUGGGAAAUUCCAGUACCCUUUUUUUUUUAAAUUCAAAUUUACUAUCAACAUAAACUUGCUUUAAAAUUGUAGUCUUGGUCUGGAGAGAUGUCUCAGCAGUUAAGAGAGCUGGCUGCUCUCCCAGAAGACCUGGUUUGGUUCCCAGUACCCACACGGUGGCUCACAGCUAACUGUAGCUCCUGUUCCAGGGGAGCUGAUGUCUUCUGAUCUCAGUGAAAGUCAGGCAUGCAUGUGGUGUCCAGACAGGCAUGAGUGCAAAACACCUUAAAAAAAAAAUAGAAUAAUAUCUAAGAACUAAAUAAAAAGAACUGCUCUU